CCUUGGUUCUCCCGCAACACUAUCUUGCGUAAUGGGUCAGGCCUGGAAGGGAGCAGCCCCCGCUUGGGACGUGUGUGCCGGGAUGUAGCUGGGGAGG
rnacentral:SRP_RNA from 1 species